GAUGAACGCUGGCGGCGUGCCUAAUACAUGCAAGUCGAGCGAACAGAUGAGGAGCUUGCUCCUCUGACGUUAGCGGCGGACGGGUGAGAACACGUGGAUAACCUACCUAUAAGACUGGGAUAACUUCGGGAAACCGGAGCUAAUACCGGAUAAUAUAUUGAACCGCAUGGUUCAAUAGUGAAAGACGGUUUUGCUGUCACUUAUAGAUGGAUCCGCGCCGCAUUAGCUAGUUGGUAAGGUAACGGCUUACCAAGGCAACGAUGCGUAGCCGACCUGAGAGGGGGAUCGGCCACACUGGAACUGAGACACGGUCCAGACUCCUACGGGAGGCAGCAGUAGGGAAUCUUCCGCAAUGGGCGAAAGCCUGACGGAGCAACGCCGCGUGAGUGAUGAAGGUCUUCGGAUCGUAAAACUCUGUUAUUAGGGAAGAACAAAUGUGUAAGUAACUAUGCACGUCUUGACGGUACCUAAUCAGAAAGCCACGGCUAACUACGUG
rnacentral:rRNA from 1 species